CUCGGAGACGGAGUCCGGAAGCGGCGCCUCGACCGAAGUUUGACUGUGACCUCCGCCUGGCUGUCUUCUUCUUCAUCCUCCUCUUCAUCCUCAUCCUCCUCGUCAUCCUCCUGUAUUUUUGUUUUGCUUUUUGAGCCGGGGACUACUCGCUGUGCAACUCUGGCUGGCCUGGCACCCUCUCUAUAGACCAGUUUGGCCUUGAACUCACGAAAACAAGCUGUCUCCAAACUGCUGAGCUAACAGGCCUCUGCACCACCAUACUGACUUAUCUAAAAAAUCGACGUUAGAGCUGUAACCCAGGGUGUGUCAAUCAAAUGCUCUACCACUGAGCUACCCUGUGAGCCGCCGAAUCGUCAUUUCGCCCAUUGCCCCACCCAUGAGACCUGGCAAUGAGACAGGAAUGACAUCUUUUAACCCCAGACAGAAGAGUGGAUGCAGGAUGCAGGAGCCCAGGAUGCAGACCUGCACACUGGAGUGGAGCUGUGGGGCGGGGCCGGAGGGGAAGGCAGGCAGCAAGCAUGGCCCAGCAGAGACACCAUCAGAGUUGUCAUCUCAAUGCUUACUGUCCUGUAGGGCUACCCAGCUCCCCCCCUUCAACCCUUCAACCUGCUGUUAAGACCCUAGCUGCCCUCUCCCUGCCUCUGGAAACCUAAGAAGGAACUAUUCUCCCAAGUCAGGCAGAGAGGGGUGGUGGCAGUCCUUCCCGGCUGACAGUUCUCUUCCUCCCCCACGUGCAGAGUUCCAGGAGACCAUCAGACAGAUGGGGAGGUGAGAUUAGUACCUUUCAGUGACGGGGGAGUAUAGGCACAGGGGUUGGGUCUCUUCGACUUUGGGUGGUGCCCCUCUCCAGAGGUUCUCUACAGGAAAGAAGCAGUUGAAACAGGCUCCCCAGGUACCCUUCCCUUUCCCCUCCCCCCAGUGGGACAACUGACUUGGACAGCUGACAGAGCACAGGACACCUAGGCAAAACUCCACCCCCAUUAGCAGAAGCCAGAUUUAGAGCAGGACCCUCUCUCGGUCGGUCGGUCGGUCGGUCGGUCGUGGACACCCCAUGCCAGCCCCACCCCACUAAGACAGAGGGUGACACCAGAACAGGAUCUUUCCAGGGUAAUGCAAUUGAUAUGCUAAUAUGUCCUGUGGUGGCCUAGGUUGGCUCUACAGAUAUCAGUCUACCCCAGCCCAGAGGGCCCAGCUAAGUGUCCUUCCAGCUGCCCCAGGAAACUCACCUGAUGUGGAGAGGCCUCCUCCUCUGAGAGAGACCAUCAGGCAUACAGCAACCAUGGUCAAGGAGGAAGAGAAAAAGAAUAAGGUUAUUUUCCCCCCAAGCCUCAGUCUCUGGGACAGCAAAAGUGUGCCCUUCCCUCCUGGUGCCAACAGGUGCCAAGAGAAUAAACCAACCCAGCCAGCUGUGUUGGCCUUCC
ensembl:processed_transcript 1700003D09Rik RIKEN cDNA 1700003D09 gene